AGUUUGGGACCAUAAAUGGAGAAGCUUACCGAAGAUAGGGCCUUUCAAGUGAAGGAGAGUAAGGAAAGUGGUUGGGGUAUUCCAAGAUGUGAAGAAUCCUGUCUUUUGUGUGGAAUUCAAGAUACUGAUCAACUUUUACCACAAGAAGAAGCAUUUGCCUCCAGGGUACCAUAGACAUGUGGC